rnacentral:rRNA from 1 species
AUGGCAAGGUGUGUUUGGGCCUUGGAGGACGAUGAUCUGGUUGAGCAUGUGGGCGAGGCUGCAAAGUUUAACUGUGAUGGUGGCUUGUCAACCCUAGGAGACAAAGGUGCAGCGGGAGUGGUGUGUCGUGACAAGACGGACCCGGCAAGUCUUGAGGCGCAUGCAUGUAGCGAAGCACUAGCCCUAGCCCAGGACUUGAAUAUGCAAGAUCUUGUCAUUGCUUCAGAUAGUGCAGAAGUUAUCGCUAAUAUCAAAUCUGCAGCAUCCCCACCUUAUGCUCCUAUUCUUAGAGAGAUUCGAGUUAGUAGCAACAAUUUUUCUUCUGUUGUUUCUUGUUUUGAAAGUAGAUGCAAUAAUUUUGAGGCCCACAUGCUAGUUAAGGGAGCUGCGUCUCUUGCGGUGGGCCGUCAUGUGUUGCUAGGGGUUUUACCAGAUAUUGCCUGUAUUCCAGAGGCCGUGAACAUUGAAUAA